rnacentral:lncRNA from 1 species
UAUAUCAGCUAAAUAUGUUCUUUCACAUAAUUUAUUGUACACUAAACACUUGUCCUACAAAUAAAUAUGCUUGUUCAUAUUGUCCACUGCUUAAAUUGCAUUGAACCCUAUAAAUAAAUAGUACCAAAGAAAUUAUAUUAUUUUCCCUUAUUACAUUUAUGUUUGAAAUAAUCUAUUCUAUAUUGACGAUAUAAAUAGAAUAGUAUUUGGUUGUAGCGUGUGUUAUACACACAUUCACGUGCUUGUAAAGGACUAUAAUGUCUAAUAAUGUGGCAAAUUGACACAUUUCUCAAGACAUGACUAUAUUCUUCAUUAUUUUCUCAAUAUGGUUAUACAGCAAAAUCACCCUUUUGUAUUUGGGCACCUCGUUUUUUUCUUUUUGAAUAUGCAUUAUUAAUAAAAGAGAAAUUAGCCUCAAUAGCCAUGAAAUAAAAUGUAAUUAGGUAUCUAACUAAAAAAAAAUCAUCCUCAAUUAUUACUACAAUAUAUACUAUAUUACCCCUCAUUCUCAGUUAAUACGUGCACAAACUUUUUCUUCUUCACUUACCUACCACCGUCACUUCUUCCAAUUCACUAUCAUUUU